GAGUGAAAUAGAACCUGAAACCGUGUGCUUACAAGUAGUCAGAGCCCGUUAAUGGGUGAUGGCGUGCCUUUUGUAGAAUGAACCGGCGAGUUACGAUUUGAUGCAAGGUUAAGCAGUAAAUGUGGAGCCGUAGCGAAAGCGAGUCUGAAUAGGGCGUUUAGUAUUUGGUCGUAGACCCGAAACCAGGUGAUCUACCCUUGGUCAGGUUGAAGUUCAGGUAACACUGAAUGGAGGACCGAACCGACUUACGUUGAAAAGUGAGCGGAUGAACUGAGGGUAGCGGAGAAAUUCCAAUCGAACCUGGAGAUAGCUGGUUCUCUCC
rnacentral:rRNA from 1 species